rnacentral:tRNA from 1 species
ACCCAGCUGGCUCAGUCAGUAGAGCAUGGGACUCUUGAUCUUGGGGUCAUGAGUUCAAGCCCCACGUUGGGUG